CCGGGCCACAAACAAUCGAACUUUCAACUGACCAAUCACAAAACAGCUCUGAGGUGAAUGGGCGGGGCGUUUUGGCACCAGGUGCGCGCUGAUGGAGAAGCGUUUGGAGGAGCGUGGCGGGAGAACUCAGCAAACAAGCGGUUUUUAGAUCUGAGAGGAUUCUGGGAGACACGUGCAGGGCCAUGGCUGUCUGGUUUAAGCCCAAAUCCUGACAGAGCAAUUGUACAGCUCAAUGACUGUCCAGACUUGGACAUCCACAAUACAAUAAACAUGUGGCUCAGGCCCAGGACAACCCUUGGUCUCUACCAAGACCUUAAGUAUCUGGGUGGCUUGCGUGUUGCCAUUCCUACAAGAACCAGGGGGAGGAUGGAUUACUUGUCUGCUGUAUCUGAGAAGUGUGAAAUAUUGUGUUCAUUCCUGUGUUCAAGUCCUGGCUAAACAUGUGAAGUCAUAGUUGUGGAAGAUUGAGCAGAAAGGAAGUAAAUAUUGGCAGUCAAGUCCACACCCUACCAAGGCCAGGAAGGUGUUUCCCAGACCUGUGUUGACGGACUGAAGUCUGGAUUUCCUGUAAACAAUGGCAGUUUUUUCACAUUUUUUGUAAGAAACAAGUAUUGAACACAUUCUCAAAAAUGACACUGCAGUUGGACUCAAACAAUUUUAUUUAUUUCAGCAAACACUCGGGUCUCCAGACUUUUUAAAGGAGAAGCGGAUCGUUUGGGUGCAAUCAUUUCCCCACUUUCUUCAACAGUGAUAUUUGUUGUAGCUGAGAGGAUUCUGGGACAUCUUUUUAGAGAUAUUUUGUGAAGUUUCAAAAGUAUGAUCUGUUUAAAUAUCUGCAAUAUUUGAAAUGAAUAAUUUUUUGUUCAGUUGCUUUGCAGGAAGUUUGCUGGCCAUAACAAGGAGUCUAAAUAUCCACUUGCGACCAAGUGCCAUGUUUCUGGAUUCCUCAGACAAAUGGUAAUCUGUAGUUAAAAAAAAAAAAAAAAAUACUUUCAUUUAGAAAAUGUCACAGUAUUAUAACUUCAGUGAUUAAAUGUUUCAUUUACAGCACCACCUGCUGAGGUCAAAAGCCUGGUGACGUUUUACCUCAAGAUCCCCGAACACUACAAAGACUUAAAUCUUUUAGAAAUGGUUUACUCGCAUACAUUAGUACGCAUAACACAGUUUAGACUUACUUUGAUUAGGAUUUCUUUUUUUUGUGUGUGUGUGUUUUAUAUUACUGAUUUUCAGUUUGUUACAGCAACAAUGUGUAUGUGAAAAAAGGGACUUAUUAAAAGUAAAGAUUGCAGUUGAAAUGUUUUAGUUUAAGCUAGCUAAUUUGUCAACAGGUCUUUUAGUUACUCUACAAUUAGCAAUGGGCAAAGUUUAUACUUUUUGGUUUGUCAGAUUUGUGACUUAAUAAUAACCUUUCCUGUACAUUUAUCCUUCCAAACUUUAGAACAACUCUUAACAGGUUUGCUGGGUAAAGAAGACCUCUUAAAAUACCUACUGAUUGUCUCUAGUACAUUUUUAGAAGUUACUUCCUUUCCACUGUUAGUACAAAACAAAACCAAUAUGUGAUUUGUACACUUUUUUACACAUGGCUCACUCGCCAUAUCUCCAAAACUGUAACACACCAGAUUAGGAACAAGAGAUCAAUAUUCACUGUACAUUUAACCUCUUGACAGGCCAGGGUUUUUAUCAGUUGUCUGCCUGACAUUACAGCAUUACAUAAAGCUUUCAUGUGUGAUGAACAUACUUGUACUAGAAAAAAAUGUAAUGAAUAAAAUCAGAAAACAUUUUAAAAUCA
rnacentral:lncRNA from 1 species